GAUCUUGGCUCAGAAUCAACGCUGGCGGCGUGCCUCAGACAUGCAAGUCGAACGAUUAAAGCUCCCUUCGGGGAGUGCAUAAAGUGGCGCACGGGUGAGUAACACGUAAGUAAUCUACCCUCGGGUGGGGAAUAACAUCGGGAAACCGAUGCUAAUACCGCAUAAUGCAGCGGCACCGCAAGGUGACAGUUGUUAAAGAUUUUAUUGCCUGGGGGAGGAGCUUGCGGCAGANAGCUUGUUGGUAAGGUAACGGCUUACCAAGGCUACGAUCUGUAUCCGGUCUAAGAGGACGGUCGGACACACUGACACUGAAUAACGGGUCAGACUCCUACGGGAGGCAGCAGUCGGGAAUUUUGGGCAAUGGGGGAAACCCUGACCCAGCAACGCCGCGUGAAGGAU
rnacentral:rRNA from 1 species